rnacentral:rRNA from 1 species
AGUGAACGCUGGCGGUAGGCCUAACACAUGCAAGUCGAACGGCAGCACAGUAAGAGCUUGCUCUUACGGGUGGCGAGUGGCGGACGGGUGAGGAAUACAUCGGAAUCUACUUUUUCGUGGGGGAUAACGCAGGGAAACUUACGCUAAUACCGCAUACGACCUACGGGUGAAAGCAGGGGAUCUUCGGACCUUGCGCGAUUGAAUGAGCCGAUGUCGGAUUAGCUAGUUGGCGGGGUAAAGGCCCACCAAGGCGACGAUCCGUAGCUGGUCUGAGAGGAUGAUCAGCCACACUGGAACUGAGACACGGUCCAGACUCCUACGGGAGGCAGCAGUGGGGAAUAUUGGACAAUGGGCGCAAGCCUGAUCCAGCCAUACCGCGUGGGUGAAGAAGGCCUUCGGGUUGUAAAGCCCUGUUGUUGGGAAAGAAAAGCAGCAGGUUAAUACCCCGCUGUUCUGACGGUACCCAAAGAAUAAGCACCGGCUAACUUCGUG